rnacentral:sRNA from 1 species
GCUGGGCAUGGUGGCGUAUACCUGUAAUCCCAGCUACUCGGGAGGCUGAGGCAGGAGAAUUGCUUGAACCCAGGAGGCAGAGAUUGCAGUGGGCUGAGAUUGUGCCACUGCACUCCAGCCUGGGUGACAGAGUGAGACUCUGUCUCAA